UACGUAGGGGGCAAGCGUUGUCCGGAAUCAUUGGGCGUAAAGAGCUCGUAGGCGGCUUGUUGCGUCGGCUGUGAAAACCCGCGGCUUAACCGUGGGCUUGCAGCCGAUACGGGCAGGCUGGAGUUCGGUAGGGGGAGACUGGAAUUCCUGGUGUAGCGGUGAAAUGCGCAGAUAUCAGGAGGAACACCGGUGGCGAAGGCGGGUCUCUGGGCCGAUACUGACGCUGAGGAGCGAAAGCGUGGGGAGCGAACAGG
rnacentral:rRNA from 1 species